AGUCGAACGAACCUUCGGGUUAGUGGCGGACGGGUGAGUAACGCGUGAGAAUCUGCCCUCAGGAGGGGGAUAACAGUUGGAAACGACUGCUAAUACCCCAUAUGCCGAGAGGUGAAACGAAUUUCGCCUGGGGAUGAGCUCGCGUCUGAUUAGCUUGUUGGUGGGGUAACUGCCUACCAAGGCUUCGAUCAGUAGCUGGUCUGAGAGGACGAUCAGCCACACUGGGACUGAGACACGGCCCAGACUCCUACGGGAGGCAGCAGUGGGGAAUUUUCCGCAAUGGGCGCAAGCCUGACGGAGCAACGCCGCGUGAGGGAUGGAGGCCUUUGGGCUGUAAACCUCUUUUCUCAAGGAAGAAGAUCUGACGGUACUUGAGGAAUAGGCCACGGCUAAUUCCGUGCCAGCAGCCGCGGUAAUACGGGAGUGGCAAGCGUUAUCCGGAAUUAUUGGGCGUAAAGCGUCCGCAGGCGGCCGUUUAAGUCCGUUGUUAAAUCGUGGAGCUCAACUCCAUCACGGCAAUGGAAACUGUUCGGCUUGAGUAUGGUAGGGGCAGAGGGAAUUUCCGGUGUAGCGGUGAAAUGCGUAGAUAUCGGGAAGAACACCAGUGGCAAAAGCGCUCUGCUGGGCCAUUACUGACGCUCAUGGACGAAAGCCAGGGGAGCGAAAGGGAUUAGAUACCCCUGUAGUCCUGGCCGUAAACGAUGAACACUAGAUGUUGGGGGAAUCGACCCCCUCGGUGUCGUAGCUAACGCGUUAAGUGUUCCGCCUGGGGAGUACGCACGCAAGUGUGAAACUCAAAGGAAUUGACGGGGGCCCGCACAAGCGGUGGAGUAUGUGGUUUAAUUCGAUGCAACGCGAAGAACCUUACCAAGGCUUGACAUCCUGCGAAUCUCCAAGAAAUUGGAGAGUGCCUUCGGGAACGCAGUGACAGGUGGUGCAUGGCUGUCGUCAGCUCGUGUCGUGAGAUGUUGGGUUAAGUCCCGCAACGAGCGCAACCCACGUUUUUAGUUGCCAGCAUUCAGUUGGGCACUCUAGAAAGACUGCCGGUGACAAACCGGAGGAAGGUGUGGACGACGUCAAGUCAUCAUGCCCCUUACGCCUUGGGCUACACACGUACUACAAUGCUGCGGACAAAGAGUAGCGAUCUUGCGAAAGUUAGCUAAUCUCGUAAACCGUGGCUCAGUUCAGAUCGUAGGCUGCAACUCGCCUACGUGAAGGAGGAAUCGCUAGUAAUCGCAGGUCAGCAUACUGCGGUGAAUACGUUCCCGGGCCUUGUACACACCGCCCGUCACACCAUGGAAGUUGGCCAUGCCCGAAGUCGUUACUCUAACCUUUUGGAAGAGGCGCCGAAGG
rnacentral:rRNA from 1 species